UGGGGAAUUUUGCACAAUGGGGGAAACCCUGAUGCAGCGACGCCGCGUGAUUUAGAAGGCCUUCGGGUUGUAAAAAUCUUUUCUAUGGGAAGAAAAUGACAUUACCAUAGGAAUAAGGACCGGCUAAUUACGUGCCAGCAGCCGCGGUAAUACGUAAGGUCCGAGCGUUGUCCGGAAUCAUUGGGCGUAAAGGGUACGUAGGCGGGUAAGCAAGUUAGAAGUGAAAUCCUAUAGCUCAACUAUAGUAAGCUUUUAAAACUGCUCAUCUUGAGGUAUGGAAGGGAAAGUGGAAUUCCUAGUGUAGCGGUGAAAUGCGCAGAUAUUAGGAGGAAUACCGGUGGCGAAGGCGACUUUCUGGCCAUAACCUGACGCUGAGGUACGAAAGCGUGGGUAGCAAAGAGG
rnacentral:rRNA from 1 species